UUAACAACCAUGGAGACUGAAAUCUUCUCUUUAUCAACAGAACAGUUACAGCAUCAGAGCAGCAGUACAAGUUUCACUACACUGCGUUGCUAACGUGCCUGAGGCUUCACUUAGAAGGGCCAUCUCAAGGGGGUAAUUCAGUCUCCAUGCUCACUCAAUUCCUGGCACCU
rnacentral:sRNA from 1 species